CCCAGGGAGGAUGGUGUCUAGAAGUCCCCAAAGUGCUGAUGGGCUAGAACAGUGGUAACAUUGAUAUCAAAAUGCCUCCUGGGCAGAAGGCCAAGUGGAACUGAGGAUGAGGCUCUGCAAGAAGGCAGGCAUUUCCUUAAGACAUGAUCAUCAUUAUAUUCAGUGUUACUCUACCCUCAGCACAACAUCUGGCAUGUGAGGCCACACCUGGAAGAAGAUGGUACCUGCCCCCCUCUCACACAAAGGCAAGUGAAG